CAGCCCUUGACAUGUCGNGUAUGGAUGCCAGAGAUGGCUUCCUUCAGUUCGGCUGGCGGAACACAGGUGCUGCAUGGCUGUCGUCAGCUCGUGUCGUGAGAUGUUGGGUUAAGUCCCGCAACGAGCGCAACCCUCGCCCUUAGUUGCCAUCAUUAAGUUGGGCACUUUAGGGGGACUGCCGGUGAUAAGCCGAGAGGAAGGUGGGGAUGACGUCAAGUCCUCAUGGCCCUUACGGGCUGGGUUACACACGUGNUACAAUGGCGGUGACAAUGGGCAGCGAAAGGGCGACCUGGAGCUAAUCCCCAAAAGCCGUCUCAGUUCGGAUUGCACUCUGCAACUCGAGUGCAUGAAGGCGGAAUCGCUAGUAAUCG
rnacentral:rRNA from 1 species